CAGCAGCCGCGGUAAUACGUAGGUGGCAAGCGUUGUCCGGAAUUAUUGGGCGUAAAGGGCUCGCAGGCGGUUUCUUAAGUCUGAUGUGGAAGCCCCCGGCUCAACCGGGGAGGGUCAUUGGAAACUGGGAAACUUGAGUGCAGAAGAGGAGAGUGGAAUUCCACGUGUAGCGGUGAAAUGCGUAGAGAUGUGGAGGAACACCAGUGGCGAAGGCGACUCUCUGGUCUGUAACUGACGCUGAGGAGCGAAAGCGUGGGGAGCGAACAGGAUUAGAUACCCGGGUAGUCCCUGUCUCUUAUAC
rnacentral:rRNA from 1 species